UACGUAGGGGGCAAGCGUUUGUCCGGAUUUAUUGGGUUUAAAGGGUGCGUAGGCGGCUUUGUAAGUCAGCGGUGAAAUACUCUAGCUUAACUAGAGGGGUGCCAUUGAUACUGCGGAGCUUGAGUACAGAUGAGGUAGGCGGAAUUGACGGUGUAGCGGUGAAAUGCAUAGAUAUCGUCAAGAACACCGAUAGCGAAGGCAGCUUACUGGGCUGUAACUGACGCUGAUGCACGAAAGUGUGGGGGAUCAAACAGG
rnacentral:rRNA from 1 species